AGUAUUUAUGUUGCUAAGACAGGAUGCAGAGAAAGAGGAAAGCAGGAUGUGCUUACUCAUUUUUAUAUGAUCUCAAUGGAGAAAGGAUCAAAUGUUGAUGCCAGUGUCCAAAUUCCUAUCAACUUCUCUCAUCCUGAUGUAUAUUCACAUUUGUCUCUUCCAUGAGUAAACCACUUGAUGGAAAAUCACUUAUGGGCUAUCUAAACUCUUCCCCAUAUAACUCUGCAUUGCAAAGACACUCGAGCUAUUGACACUGAACACCUUGGAUUGCAUGAACGUGUGGAUGUCUGUAAUGUCACCAAUCACCAGUGAGGUGUCAUAUUUUCUACAUGCAAAAAUAAUGAGAGCUCUUCCAGCUGCAGAAUGGAUAACAUUUGAGCACUGAAGAGCUUGAUGAGAUGGAUAUUUGGACUGCUACAAUAACAGAAGCAGCUCUAGAAGGAGGCAUUUGGAUUCAAGAACAGGAGUUAGUUACUAGAUACUUUCCACAGUAGUUUAUGCAUCCUUGAAUAAAGAAAAGCUUCAUAGUAGUUUUUAAUU